rnacentral:rRNA from 1 species
AACGGACGCUGGCGGCAUGCCUAACACAUGCAAGUCGAACGAGACCUUCGGGUCUAGUGGCGCACGGGUGCGUAACGCGUGGGAAUCUGCCCUUGGGUUCGGAAUAACAGUUGGAAACGACUGCUAAUACCGGAUGAUGACGUAAGUCCAAAGAUUUAUCGCCCAAGGAUGAGCCCGCGUAGGAUUAGCUAGUUGGUGAGGUAAAGGCUCACCAAGGCGACGAUCCUUAGCUGGUCUGAGAGGAUGAUCAGCCACACUGGGACUGAGACACGGCCCAGACUCCUACGGGAAGCAGCAGUGGGGAAUAUUGGACAAUGGGCGAAAGCCUGAUCCAGCAAUGCCGCGUGAGUGAUGAAGGCCUUAGGGUUGUAAAGCUCUUUUACCCGGGAUGAUAAUGACAGUACCGGGAGAAUAAGCUCCGGCUAACUCCGUG